CAGCGUAGGAGGCGAGCGUUUGUCCGGAAUGCAUUGGGCGUAAAGAGCGCGCAGGCGGCUUGGUAAGUCCGGGUGUGAAAUCCCGGGGCUCAACCCCGGGACUGCAUUCGAUACUGUCAGGCUGAGAGGUAGGUAGGGGAGAUCGGAAUUCCUGGUGUAGGCGGUGAAAUGCGCAGAUAAUCGAGGAGGAACACCGGUGGCGAAGGCGGAUCCUGGCCUGGCAACUGCGUGACGGCUAGGAGGAAGCGAAAGGGACGUACGGGAGGAAACAUG
rnacentral:rRNA from 1 species